AGUUGACAAGAAUGAUGAAUCAAUUAGAUGUGUGAGGCUGUUAGUCUCAUGAACUGAACCUUUGAGGCAUAGAAUAUUAUUUCUGACUCUGUU